rnacentral:rRNA from 1 species
AGGACGAACGCUGGCGGCGUGCUUAACACAUGCAAGUCGAGCGGUAAGGCCUUUCGGGGUACACGAGCGGCGAACGGGUGAGUAACACGUGGGUGAUCCGCCCUGCGCUCUGGGAUAAGCCUGGGAAACUGGGUCUAAUACCGGAUAUGACUGCAUGCCGCAUGGUGUGUGGUGGAAAGCUUUAUGUGGUGCAGGAUGGGCCCGCGGCCUAUCAGCUUGUUGGUGGGGUAAUGGCCUACCAAGGCGACGACGGGUAGCCGACCUGAGAGGGUGACCGGCCACACUGGGACUGAGACACGGCCCAGACUCCUACGGGAGGCAGCAGUGGGGAAUAUUGCACAAUGGGCGGAAGCCUGAUGCAGCGACGCCGCGUGAGGGAUGGAAGGCCUUGGGUUGUAAACCUCUUUACAGCAGGACGAAGCGCAAGUGACGUACCUGCAGAAGAAGCACCGGCUAACUACGUGCCAGCAGCCGACGGUAAUCGUGA